GAUGAACGCUGGCGGCGUGCUUAACACAUGCAAGUCGAACGGUGAACCCGGAGCUUGCUCUGUGGGAUCAGUGGCGAACGGGUGAGUAACACGUGAGCAACCUGCCCCUGACUCUGGGAUAAGCGCUGGAAACGGCGUCUAAUACUGGAUAUGUGACGUGACCGCAUGGUCUGCGUUUGGAAAGAUUUUUCGGUUGGGGAUGGGCUCGCGGCCUAUCAGCUUGUUGGUGAGGUAAUGGCUCACCAAGGCGUCGACGGGUAGCCGGCCUGAGAGGGUGACCGGCCACACUGGGACUGAGAGACGGCCCAGAGUCCUACGGGAGGCAGCAGUGGGGAAUAUUGCACAAUGGGCGCAAGCCUGAUGCAGCAACGCCGCGUGAGGGAUGACGGCCUUCGGGUUGUAAACCUCUUUUAGCAGGGAAGAAGCGAAAGUGACGGUACCUGCAGAAAAAGCGCCGGCUAACUACGUG
rnacentral:rRNA from 1 species